GAAGUUGUAGCUCAACGGUAGAGCGCCGGGAAACCGGAGGCCGAAGGUUCAAAUCCUUCCUGCUUCUCCA
rnacentral:tRNA from 1 species